GUCUAUGGCCAUACCACCCUGAACGCGCCCGAUCUCGUCUGAUCUUGGAAGCUAAGCAGGGUCGGGCCUGGUUAGUACUUGGAUGGGAGACAAUUUCUUUCAAUUUCUGUUUGUUAUGGAAG
rnacentral:rRNA from 1 species